rnacentral:rRNA from 1 species
AUUGAACGCUGGCGGCAGGCCUAACACAUGCAAGUCGAACGAGUGGCGGAGGGGUGAGUAAUGUCUGGGCAACUGCCUGAUGGACGGGGAUAACUACUGGAAACGGUAGCUAAUACCGCAUAACACCCGAUGGGCCCAGAUGGGAUUAGCUUGUUGGUGGGGUAACGGCUCACCAAGGCGAAGAUCCCUAGCUGGUCUUAGAGGCAGACCAGCCACACUGGACCGGAGACACGGUCCAGCCUCCUUCGAGAGGAAGCGUUGGGGAAUAUUUAACAAUGGGCGCAAGCCUGAUGCAGCCAUGCCGCGUGUAUGAAGAAGGCCUUCGGGUUGUAAAGUCCUUUCGGCGGGGAGGCGUUACCCGCAGAAGAAGCACCGGCUAACUCCGUGCCAGCAGCCGCGGUAAUAC